rnacentral:rRNA from 1 species
CUACGGGAUGCUGCAGUAGGGAAUCUUCGGCAAUGGACGGAAGUCUGACCGAGCAACGCCGCGUGAGUGAAGAAGGUUUUCGGAUCGUAAAGCUCUGUUGUAAGAGAAGAACGAGUGUGAGAGUGGAAAGUUCACACUGUGACGGUAUCUUACCAGAAAGGGACGGCUAACUACGUGCCAGCAGCCGCGGUAAUACGUAGGUCCCGAGCGUUGUCCGGAUUUAUUGGGCGUAAAGCGAGCGCAGGCGGUUAGAUAAGUCUGAAGUUAAAGGCUGUGGCUUAACCAUAGUACGCUUUGGAAACUGUUUAACUUGAGUGCAGAAGGGGAGAGUGGAAUUCCAUGUGUAGCGGUGAAAUGCGUAGAUAUAUGGAGGAACACCGGUGGCGAAAGCGGCUCUCUGGUCUGUAACUGACGCUGAGGCUCGAAAGCGUGGGGAGCAAACAGGAUUAGAUACCCCGGUAGUC